rnacentral:rRNA from 1 species
AGUGAACGCUGGCGGUAGGCCUAACACAUGCAAGUCGAACGGCAGCACAGUAAGAGCUUGCUCUUACGGGUGGCGAGUGGCGGACGGGUGAGGAAUACAUCGGAAUCUACUUUUUCGUGGGGGAUAACGUAGGGAAACUUACGCUAAUACCGCAUACGACCUACGGGUGAAAGCAGGGGAUCUUCGGACCUUGCGCGAUUGAAUGAGCCGAUGUCGGAUUAGCUAGUUGGCGGGGUAAAGGCCCACCAAGGCGACGAUCCGUAGCUGGUCUGAGAGGAUGAUCAGCCACACUGGAACUGAGACACGGUCCAGACUCCUACGGGAGGCAGCAGUGGGGAAUAUUGGACAAUGGGCGCAAGCCUGAUCCAGCCAUACCGCGUGGGUGAAGAAGGCCUUCGGGUUGUAGAGCCCUUUUGUUGGGAAAGAAAAGCGGCAGGUUAAUACCCCGCUGUUCUGACGGUACCCAAAGAAUAAGCACCGGCUAACUUCGUG